UGCAAGUCGAGCGGAGUGAUGGUGCUUGCACUAUCACUUAGCGGCGGACGGGUGAGUAAUGCUUAGGAAUCUGCCUAUUAGUGGGGGACAACAUUUCGAAAGGAAUGCUAAUACCGCAUACGUCCUACGGGAGAAAGCAGGGGAUCUUCGGACCUUGCGCUAAUAGAUGAGCCUAAGUCGGAUUAGCUAGUUGGUGGGGUAAAGGCCUACCAAGGCGACGAUCUGUAGCGGGUCUGAGAGGAUGAUCCGCCACACUGGGACUGAGACACGGCCCAGACUCCUACGGGAGGCAGCAGUGGGGAAUAUUGGACAAUGGGCGCAAGCCUGAUCCAGCCAUGCCGCGUGUGUGAAGAAGGCCUUAUGGUUGUAAAGCACUUUAAGCGAGGAGGAGGCUACUGAAGUUAAUACCUUCAGAUAGUGGACGUUACUCGCAGAAUAAGCACCGGCUAACUCUGUGCCAGCAGCCGCGGUAAUACAGAGGGUGCAAGCGUUAAUCGGAUUUACUGGGCGUAAAGCGCGCGUAGGCGGCUAAUUAAGUCAAAUGUGAAAUCCCCGAGCUUAACUUGGGAAUUGCAUUCGAUACUGGUUAGCUAGAGUGUGGGAGAGGAUGGUAGAAUUCCAGGUGUAGCGGUGAAAUGCGUAGAGAUCUGGAGGAAUACCGAUGGCGAAGGCAGCCAUCUGGCCUAACACUGACGCUGAGGUGCGAAAGCAUGGGGAGCAAACAGGAUUAGAUACCCUGGUAGUCCAUGCCGUAAACGAUGUCUACUAGCCGUUGGGGCCUUUGAGGCUUUAGUGGCGCAGCUAACGCGAUAAGUAGACCGCCUGGGGAGUACGGUCGCAAGACUAAAACUCAAAUGAAUUGACGGGGGCCCGCACAAGCGGUGGAGCAUGUGGUUUAAUUCGAUGCAACGCGAAGAACCUUACCUGGCCUUGACAUAGUAAGAACUUUCCAGAGAUGGAUUGGUGCCUUCGGGAACUUACAUACAGGUGCUGCAUGGCUGUCGUCAGCUCGUGUCGUGAGAUGUUGGGUUAAGUCCCGCAACGAGCGCAACCCUUUUCCUUAUUUGCCAGCGAGUAAUGUCGGGAACUUUAAGGAUACUGCCAGUGACAAACUGGAAGGAAGGCGGGGACAACGUCAAGUCAUCAUGGCCCUUACGGCCAGGGCUACCCACGUGCUACAAUGGUCGGUACAAAGGGUUGCUACCUAGCGAUAGGAUGCUAAUCUCAAAAAGCCGAUCGUA
rnacentral:rRNA from 1 species